rnacentral:rRNA from 1 species
UACAUAGGGGGCAAGCGUUAUCCGGAAUUAUUGGGCGUAAAGGGUGCGUAGGCGGCUGAUUAAGUCUGGUGUGAAAUUUCACGGCUUAACCGUGAAGGGUCAUUGGAAACUGAUUGGCUUGAAUACAGAAGAGGUAAGUGGAAUUCCAUGUGUAGCGGUAAAAUGCUUAGAUAUAUGGAGGAACACCAGUGGCGAAGGCGGCUUACUGGUCUGUCAUUGACGCUGAUGCACGAAAGCGUGGGUAGCAAACAGG